CGUUUGUGUAAUGGAUGCUUCUGGGCGUUUGGGCACCACCCUUGUCCACAGGCUUUUGCAUAGAGGAUACAAUGUCCAUGCUGCAGUCCAAGACCAUGGCAAAUUGGAAUACUUUGAAGAGUUGUCUUCUUGCAAUAGCAAUAAAUUGAGAGUUUUCUAUUCUGAUCCCUUUGAUUAUCACAGCAUAAUGGAUGCACUAAAGGGAUGUUGUGGCUUUUUUUUUUUCUUUUUACCUCCCUCCAUCAGAUCAACCUAACUAUGAUGAAUUUAUGGCUGAUGUAGAGGUAAGGGCAGCACAUAAUGUCCUAGAAGCAUGUGCCCAAACGGAAACCAUACACAAAGUUGUCUUCGCCUCCUCUGCUACUGCUGUUAUAUGGAGUAAUGAUCGGAAUAAGACGUCUGAUGAUCUUGAUGAGAGGAACCGGAGUGAUGACAUUAAUUUCUGCCGGAAGUUCAAGUUAUGGCAUGCAAUGUCAAAGGCACUAGCAGAGAAGACAGCUUGGGCCCUAGCAAUGGACCGAGGGAUCAACAUGGUCAGCAUCAAUGGUGGACUCAUCACGAGUCCUGAUCUAACAAUUGCAAAUCCUUAUUUGAAAGGAGCCGCUGAGAUGUACGAAGAUGGGGUUUUCGUCACUGUGGAUCUGAGCUUCAUUGUUGAUGCGCACAUUUGUGUUUUUGAAGACGUUGCAUCAUAUGGAAGGUACCUAUGCUUUAACCAUGUCAUCAAUUGCAACGAAGAUGCUGUUAAGCUUGCCUGCAUCUUAUUGCCACCC
rnacentral:misc_RNA from 1 species